rnacentral:rRNA from 1 species
GUGCAGCAGUCGCGAAACCUUCGCAAUGCGGGAAACCGCGACGAGGGGACUCCCAGUGCCUACGCUCAGCGUAGGCUGUUCCCGAGCCUAGAAAGCUCGGGGAGUAAGGGCUGGGUAAGACGGGUGCCAGCCGCCGCGGUAAUACCCGCAGCCCGAGUGGUGGCCACUAUUAUUGGGCCUAAAGCGUCCGUAGCCGGCCCGGUAAAUGCCUGGGUAAAUCGUGAGGCCUAACCUCACGAAUUCCGGGUAGACUGCCGGGCUAGGGACCGGAGGAGGGAGAGGGUACUCCAGGGGUAGGGGUGGAAAUCCUGUAAUCCCUGGAGGACCACCGGUGGCGAAGGCGCUCUCCUAGGACGGUCCGACGGUGAGGGACGAAAGCCAGGGGAGCGAACCGGAUUAGAUACCCGGGUAGU